CUGCAAGACGGAGGUAACAGAUUGCACAAACACAUUGAAACAUUUUCAGCUGUUCACUAACACUGUUACAUUUUCUGGAAUUUUCAAUUGAAUGGGAGAAUACGAGAGACGAAUGCCCAAUUUUUCAAGAAGAAGAAAACGAAAAGCGCAGUUUAUUUUGGAUUUUAAAGAGAGAAACUAAAAGGCUUAACAAGGAGAAAAAGGAAACAUUUGGAGGAUUCAAAUACAUAUAUUGCGUACAACAAACAAAUAAGAGAGUAAGUUUUAAAUUAUUAAAGCUAAAUAGUGCAUAUUUAUUUCAAAUAGUUGCUAUAGAUUGUGCAUUUUUGUGAAAUAUGUAAUUUGUGCUUUAUAUCUACAUAUAUAUGUAUAUACAUACAUACAUGUGUAAAUGUAAAAAAUUUGAAAUCUAAAUUGAAACGAAUUGUGCGGUUACAAUUAAAAUUGUGCUGACUUUAGAAUACCGUCCCAGGAUUUCGGGAAUAAAAUGGGUAUUGUCGAAUUGAGGAGGUUUUUCAGAAUUAGUGAAGUGCUAGUGAACAUAAAAAGCGAAAUAUAAGUGUAAACUUAAUUUACACCAGAAAACUUCUUGAUCAUUUCAUAAGCGUUUUUUAUAUGAAGUUUUUGCUUUUUUUGAGAGCUGGAAACCCACCUUUAAACGCAAAUAUCUCGAAUAUUUAUAUUCUUGAACUGGAUAACCUCCUCUAUAAUUAAAAAUGUUCAUUUGUUCGUCCAAGAUAUCUGUUCGUAUGCAGAAUAUCUAAAAUUGUUUAAAAUAAAAACAACAUUAGUGUUUCAUCAUAUAACUACAUACAUAUACGCAUUUCUGCUCCUAAGCAGGAUUUUAAAAAUUAAAUUAAAAUUAAACUUUUUCAAGCUUCAAGCAAAUGAGGAGUGUCUUUUCAAAAAAGGAUAUUUACAUUUUAAUUUUUUUAAACUAUUUAUAUAGUCUUUUCUUUAGUGCUGAAAUACACAACUUCUUUACUUGGAUGUUGAUCUCAAAAAGAUAUGUCGCAAGUAAAAAAGGGUUAAAU